CGCCUGUGCAUGCCGGGAACAUGGACUUGCUGAGUGGUUUGAAGGUGGAAAGACACUUUUUCACACUUUUUUCGAAGCGCUUGUGCACCGUUAAGCAAUCAUGAGAGUCACAGCACUGUUGGCAUCACUGAGGGGAGCACCAACAACACUGAGGUGGCUGUUUACCCACCCUUGCAUCCCUCAUCCAGCCCCUGGCCUACCACAGGCAGUGAGUGCAGCAAAUCGCACAAAAACAGAAGCUAUCGCAGAACAGAAUCAACAAUUAUGGGCCAAUCAAAUCUCUGGGGUAAGCAAUCACUCAUAUACACAUACGUUAAUGAUAAAACCCUCUCGGACUGUGAUCCGAUGGAAGACAAGUUUCUAUUGGGUUAAACGAGUCAUAAUGACUCUAAGGUAGCCUAAAGACCAGUCCUCUUUCCAUGGAGUCAGUUUGUCUUGGAUGUAGCUCUGUGCAUGUGAUGAGCCACUAUUUUAAAUGUUAACAUGUGUUUUUCAUAAUAAUUUCGUAGUAACUCAGGUUACUCAGGUGCAUGAUAGUUAUAUUUUGAGCUCACUGUUAUUGUUUGCUAAGAGUCCUUAUGACCUCUUUACUUACUUUUUAUUUACCCUGAUACAGUGAUGAUACAGUGUUAGUGGCCAUUCAAAUAUUCUAUCUAUGCUUCUGCUGGGAGCAUUCUCUGAUAUGAUGCUUCUAACCUUCAGAAAUAUCGUACCUGCUGUUUAAUUUUGGCUUUACCACCAAAAAAUAUACACUGUGGUAGCACAUUUUGACAUAGUUGUAUAAUUUUGACAAAACACUGGUUCGGUUCAUGGACCGACAACGCUUCAGUUGUAUGAUUUGAGCAUACUGUUAUUAUUUGCUUGAGAGCUAAUAAAAAUGUAUUGACGAUUUAAAAAAAAAUCUUCACUGUUAUUUACAUAUGAAUUUACCUUAUAUUUACCCUGACAGUAUAAUGACAAUUAAUGCAAUUAAAUAAAAUAUAUUUUUAUGUCUGUUAUCAUUUAUAUUUACCCUGUUAUAGUCAUUUAGGCCAUCCAAAUAUUCUAUCUAUAUUUCUGUAAGGAGCAUUUUCUGAUCUAAUGCUUUCAACCUGUAGAAAUAUCUUACCUUCUGUGUAAUUUAAGCAGCCUUACCAAUAAAUAUAUAUUGUGAUAGUACAGUUUAAUAAGGUAGCUCAAAUAGGUUGUUCGUGGGCAGUGUACAGAGUGGGGAAUCAUACAGCUUACUGUAAUUAUUUGUGAGAGUUCAAAUGUAAUAAAAUCCUAUUACACUCAGUCACCUUAUAUUUACCCUGAUAUAGUGAUUUAGGACUUCUGCUGGGUGCAUUGUAUGCUUCACUCUAUGAGCAUAUCCUACCUAAUGGUUUAUAAAGGCAACUUUACAAGCAAUAACCAUAAAUUGUGGUAACACGUUUUGACAAGAUUUGUGGGCUGUCUACAGAUUGGAGAACAACGUCACAAGCAAAUAAUGACUGUAAGCUCUAAUUAAGAGUCACAAAAAUUUAGUGACUAUAAGAAUUAAAAAAUAUAUUUUACUUAUGACCUCAGUUACCUUCUCUUUAGCCUGAUAUAGUGAUUUAGGAUACACAAAUGAUCUACCUAUACCUAACCCAUACAUAUACUCAAUCUUUAGAAAGAUUCCUGCUGUUUAUUUUAGACAGCUUCACAAAUAAGUAUACACUGUGGUCAUACGGUUUGACAAUGUAUCACAAUUCUGACAAAACACCAGUUUGUGGGCUGUCUACAGAGUGCAGAACAACAGGGCAGCUUAUUAUUAUUUUUUACAUCAGUUACCUUAUUUUUACAUAUAUAUAUAUA